rnacentral:rRNA from 1 species
ACUGGUGCCAGCCGCCGCGGUAAAACCAGCUCUUAGAGUGGUGGGCGUGAUUAUUUGGCUUAAAGUGUGCGUAGCAGGACAGUGUAAGUCCCCUGUGAAAUGCUAGGUCUUAAGCUUAGCGCGGGCGGGGGAUACUGCGCGUCUUGGGACCGGGAUAGGUGCAAGGUAUGCAAUGGGUAGGGGUGAAAUCCGAUAAUCCAUUGCAGACCACCGGUGGCGAAGGCGUUGCACUGGAACGGGUCCGACUGUGAGGGACGAAAGCUGGGGGAGCGAACCGGAUUAGAUACCCGGGUAGUCCCAGCUGUAAACGAUGCGGGCUAGGUGUUGGGGUGGCUACGAGCCACUUCAGUGCCGCAGGGAAGCCAUUAA